rnacentral:rRNA from 1 species
GACGAACGCUGGCGGCGUGCUUAACACAUGCAAGUCGAACGGAAAGGCCCAGCUUGCUGGGUGCUCGAGUGGCGAACGGGUGAGUAACACGUGGGUGAUCUGCCUCUAACUUCGGGAUAAGCUUGGGAAACUGGGUCUAAUACCGGUUAGGACAAUCGGUUAGUGUCGGUUGUGGAAAGUUUUUUCGGUUAGGGAUGAGCCCGCGGCCUAUCAGCUUGUUGGUGGGGUAAUGGCCUACCAAGGCGUCGAGGGGUAGCCGGCCUGAGAGGGUGGACGGCCACAUGGGGAUGGGGGAACGGCCAGAGCCCAUAGGGGGGGAAGGGGGGGGAAAUUUUGCAAAAUGGGCGAAGGCUGGGGGCAGCGACGCCGGGUGGGGAAGGAGGGCCUGGGGGGUGUAAACCUUUUUCACCAGGAAGAAAGUUUUGGGGCGGGUCCCGGAAAAAAAGCCCCGGGUAAAUUGGGU